AAUGAGGCGAACCGGGGGAACUGAAACAUCUAAGUACCCCGAGGAAAAGAAAUCAACCGAGAUUCCCCCAGUAGCGGCGAGCGAACGGGGAGCAGCCCAGAGCCUGAAUCAGUGUGUGUGUUAGUGGAAGCGUCUGGAAAGGCGCGCGAUACAGGGUGACAGCCCCGUACACAAAAAUGCACAUGCUGUGAGCUCGAUGAGUAGGGCGGGACACGUGGUAUCCUGUCUGAAUAUGGGGGGACCAUCCUCCAAGGCUAAAUACUCCUGACUGACCGAUAGUGAACCAGUACCGUGAGGGAAAGGCGAAAAGAACCCCGGCGAGGGGAGUGAAAAAGAACCUGAAACCGUGUACGUACAAGCAGUGGGAGCACGCUUAGGCGUGUGACUGCGUACCUUUUGUAUAAUGGGUCAGCGACUUAUAUUCUGUAGCAAGGUUAACCGAAUAGGGGAGCCGAAGGGAAACCGAGUCUUAACUGGGCGUUAAGUUGCAGGGUAUAGACCCGAAACCCGGUGAUCUAGCCAUGGGCAGGUUGAAGGUUGGGUAACACUAACUGGAGGACCGAACCGACUAAUGUUGAAAAAUUAGCGGAUGACUUGUGGCUGGGGGUGAAAGGCCAAUCAAACCGGGAGAUAGCUGGUUCUCCCCGAAAGCUAUUUAGGUAGCGCCUCGUGAAUUCAUCUCCGGGGGUAGAGCACUGUUUCGGCAAGGGGGUCAUCCCGACUUACCAACCCGAUGCAAACUGCGAAUACCGGAGAAUGUUAUCACGGGAGACACACGGCGGGUGCUAACGUCCGUCGUGAAGAGGGAAACAACCCAGACCGCCAGCUAAGGUCCCAAAGUCAUGGUUAAGUGGGAAACGAUGUGGGAAGGCCCAGACAGCCAGGAUGUUGGCUUAGAAGCAGCCAUCAUUUAAAGAAAGCGUAAUAGCUCACUGGUCGAGUCGGCCUGCGCGGAAGAUGUAACGGGGCUAAACCAUGCACCGAAGCUGCGGCAGCGACGCUUAUGCGUUGUUGGGUAGGGGAGCGUUCUGUAAGCCUGUGAAGGUGUGCUGUGAGGCAUGCUGGAGGUAUCAGAAGUGCGAAUGCUGACAUAAGUAACGAUAAAGCGGGUGAAAAGCCCGCUCGCCGGAAGACCAAGGGUUCCUGUCCAACGUUAAUCGGGGCAGGGUGAGUCGACCCCUAAGGCGAGGCCGAAAGGCGUAGUCGAUGGGAAACAGGUUAAUAUUCCUGUACUUGGUGUUACUGCGAAGGGGGGACGGAGAAGGCUAUGUUGGCCGGGCGACGGUUGUCCCGGUUUAAGCGUGUAGGCUGGUUUUCCAGGCAAAUCCGGAAAAUCAAGGCUGAGGCGUGAUGACGAGGCACUACGGUGCUGAAGCAACAAAUGCCCUGCUUCCAGGAAAAGCCUCUAAGCAUCAGGUAACAUCAAAUCGUACCCCAAACCGACACAGGUGGUCAGGUAGAGAAUACCAAGGCGCUUGAGAGAACUCGGGUGAAGGAACUAGGCAAAAUGGUGCCGUAACUUCGGGAGAAGG
rnacentral:rRNA from 1 species